rnacentral:misc_RNA from 1 species
AUGGGCUGCGGAGGACUAGCUAUUAUGGCUGCUCCCGCCUUAAACUUGCUGCACGACCGCAAGCUUAUGCUAGGUUUAUUGGAGUGGUGUUUACAUUUUAUUCCUACAACCAUUCAUAGCUUGGUGGCGUUAAAUUUGAUGUUGCGUCUGUGCAACUGAAGUUUGACCUCAAAUCAGACAAGGAUACCCGCUGAACUUAA